rnacentral:rRNA from 1 species
GACAUAGGUGGCGAACGUCAUCCGGAUUUAUUGGGCGUAAAGGAUGCGUAGAUGGUGGAAUAAGUUAUUGGUCGAGGUCAAGCUCAACUUGGCGGAAGCUGAUAAUACUGUUCUACUUGAGGGCAGGAGAGGUUGGCGGAAUUCUGUGUGGAGCGGUGAAAUGCGUUGAUCUACAGAGGAACACCAAAAAGGGCGAAGGCAGCCAACUAUUCUGAUCCUGACAUUGAGGCAUGAAAGCGUGGGGAGCAAACCGG